UACGGGGGGAGCAAGCGUUGUUCGGAUUUACUGGGCGUAAAGGGCGCGUAGGCGGCGUGACAAGUCACUUGUGAAAUCUCCGGGCUUAACUCGGAACGGUCAAGUGAUACUGUCGUGCUAGAGUACAGAAGGGGCAACUGGAAUUCUCGGUAUAGCGGUGAAAUGCGUAGAUAUCGAGAGGAACACCUGCGGCGAAGGCGGGUUGCUGGGCUGAUACUGACGCUGAGGCGCGAAAGCUAGGGGAGCGAACGGG
rnacentral:rRNA from 1 species